rnacentral:rRNA from 1 species
AACGUAGGUACCGAGCGUUAUCCGGAUUUACUGGGCGUAAAGCGCGUUCAGGCGGUUUGGCAAGUCGGGCAUGAAAUCUCUCGGCUCAACCGGGAGAGGUUGUCCGAUACUUCCAGACUUGAGGGCAGUAGAGGGUGGUGGAAUUCCGGGUGUAGUGGUGAAAUGCGUAGAGAUCCGGAAGAACACCAGUGGCGAAGGCGGCCUGCUGGGCAGUGGCUGACGCUGAGGCGCGACAGCGUGGGGAGCAAACAGG